GGGUAGGCAAAUCCGCUCGGAGAUCCGAACCUGACAGUACUCUGAGUGCUUGCACAAGGAGAUAUGGACAAGUAACGGUGCUCCCAAGAAAAUCCGCUAAGCAUAUUGCAUGAUUACCCGUACCAUAAACCGACACAGGUGGUUGGGUUGAGUAUACUAAGGCGCUCGAGUGAUUCGCGGUUAAGGAACUAGGCAAAAUAGUCCUGUAACUUCGGAAUAAAGGACGCUCACAGUAAAGGCUGUGAGCCGCAGAGAAUAGGCCCAGGCGACUGUUUAACAAAAACACAUGGCUAUGCUAAAUCGAAAGAUACUGUAUAUAGCCUGACACCUGCCCGGUGCUGGAAGGUUAAGAGGAGAUGUCAUCGCAAGAGAAGCAUUGAAUUGAAGCCCCAGUAAACGGCGGCCGUAACUAUAACGGUCCUAAGGUAGCGAAAUUCCUUGUCGGGUAAGUUCCGACCUGCACGAAUGGUGUAACGAUCUGGGUACUGUCUCAACCGCGAGCUCGGUGAAAUUGUAGUAUCGGUGAAGAUGCCGAUUACCCGCAACGGGACGAAAAGACCCCGUGAACCUUUACUAUAGCUUUGCAUUGGAUUUGGGUAACAAAUGUGUAGGAUAGGCCGGAGACUAAGAAGCGGGCACGCCAGUGCUUGUGGAGUCGCCGUUGAAAUACGGCCCUUUUGUUAUUUGG
rnacentral:rRNA from 1 species